rnacentral:rRNA from 1 species
UACGAAGGGGGCUAGCGUUGCUCGGAAUUACUGGGCGUAAAGGGCGCGUAGGCGGAUAUUUAAGUUAGAGGUGAAAGCCCAGGGCUCAACCCUGGAAUAGCCUUUAAUACUGGAUAUCUUGAGUUCGGGAGAGGGAUGCGGAAUUCCAGGUGUAGCGGUGAAAUUCGUAGAUAUUGGGAAGAACACCAGUGGCGAAGGCGGCUAUCUGGACCGGUACUGACGCUGAGGCGCGAAAGCGUGGGGAGCAAACAGG